UACGGAGGGUGCAAGCGUUGUCCGGAAUCACUGGGCGUAAAGGGCGCGUAGGCGGCUUGGUAAGUAGGGGGUGAAAUCUUGCGGCUCAACUGCAAGGCUGCCUCCUAAACUGCCGGGCUGGAGCACGGUAGAGGCAGAUGGAAUUCCCGGUGUAGCGGUGGAAUGCGUAGAGAUCGGGAAGAACAUCGGUGGCGAAGGCGGUCUGCUGGGCCGUUGCUGACGCUGAGGCGCGACAGCGUGGGGAGCAAACAGG
rnacentral:rRNA from 1 species